GGGCGUUUAGCUCAGUUGGCUAGAGCAUCUCGUUUACACCGAGAGGGUCGGGGGUUCAAGUCCCUCAACGCCCACAA
rnacentral:tRNA from 1 species